UUCACAGGGUUUCCUAAGUGAUGGGCCUAGAUAUCCACACUGCAAAGACCAAAUGGACACAGGAUGCAAAUUCUUGAGAUUAUGAGAUGUCUCAUUUGUCAUCAAAUCAUUGGAGACUGGAUAAGCCAAAGAGCAGCUGGACCCAUCCCUGAUGAAUCUUUUCCUUGGACUAAGUGAAAGAGAUAUAUUUCGUCAUCUGAGCUAUGGACCAUCAGGAUCUUCAUUAUGCUGACAUCUUGAUGAUUUCUUGCAUAGAAAAUUGGUCAAGUAGUCCCAGACCAAAGCCACAGUGCAAAGAAAUGGUCAGCCUUUGACCGGCUCAGACUCUCCCUAUAAUUAUACUCUUCAGAAGUACUUUUGGAGUUGUCCAAAAGAAUCCUUCACCACUGACCCAAACCACCUGUUGAUUUUUACAGAUUUAUCAUUCAUUCAUCUUCCACUUCUCCAACCACUUGCUUUUGUUGUUGCCAACUUGCCUCAUUGACUGGCAACACAACCCCAAGCUUUCACUCACUUCUCCCCGAGCCUAUCUUUUUAAGCCAAUAUUCUCCAGGAGAAGAUCUUCAAGUCAUGGGAUUCUCCAGGCUCACAAAAAUUAUAGCUGUGGGUGACCCCAGAGCUGGAAAGGUUCCCAGAUGCAGAAUCAGGGCAGACCUGGAUGGAAAUCUCUCCUCUGAGGCUUGCUAGCUGUGAUUGUUUCCAGGAAGCAAAAAGUGAAUAUCUGUGGAGCACUCUGCAGACUUUAAAGUACAGUGUAAAUGUUAGCUGGGAUGCUCAUAUAAAGACAGAUGGUGAAUACAAGCAGGUUGCAGUCGGUUUCCAAUGCUGUACUGAGUGUGAGGAGCUAUUGAGGAGCUAUUGUCCUUACCCCUGGGCAGCCUGGAUUUCUAGGGGGCUGAGAUCCGGUACUGCUGGGAGGGG